GCUCCAUUAGCUAAGAGGUUAUAGCGUCGUGCUUAUAACGCGAAGAUCGUGGGUUCAAUCCCCACAUGGAGCA